rnacentral:rRNA from 1 species
ACGGGAGGCAGCAGUGGGGAAUAUUGGGCAAUGGGGGAAACCCUGACCCAGCGACGCCGCGUGGGUGAUGAAGGCCUUCGGGUCGUAAAGCCCUGUCGGGAGGAAAGAACGAUCUUGUGGGGAAUAUCCACGAGAUGUGACGGUACCUCCGAAGGAAGCACCGGCCAAUUCCGUGCCAGCAGCCGCGGUAAGACGGAAGGUGCAAGCGUUGCUCGGAAUCACUGGGCGUAAAGGGUGCGUAGGCGGCUUCUUAAGUCCGGUGUGAAAGCCCAGGGCUCAGCUCUGGAAGUGCACUAGAAACUGGGAAGCUUGAGUACCGGAGGGGAGAGUGGAAUUCCUGGUGUAGCGGUGAAAUGCGUAGAUAUCAGGAGGAAUACCGGUGGCGAAAGCGACUCUCUGGACGGUUACUGACGCUGAGGCACGAAAGCGUGGGGAGCAAACAGGAUUAGAUACCCUGGUA